AUACGGAGGGUGCAAGCGUUAUUCGGAAUCACUGGGCGUAAAGGACGCGUAGGCGGGUUGGCAAGUCAGAUGUGAAAUCCUACAGCUUAACUGUAGAACUGCAUUUGAAACUGCUAACCUAGAGUAUGGGAGGGGGAGAUGGAAUUAGUGGUGCAGGGGUAAAAUCCGUAGAUAUCACUAGGAAUACCGAAAGCGAAGGCGAUCUCCUGGAACAUAACUGAUGCUAAGGCGUGAAAGCGUGGGGAGCAAACAGGAUUAGAAACCCUAGUAGUCC
rnacentral:rRNA from 1 species